rnacentral:rRNA from 27 species
AGAGUUUGAUCAUGGCUCAGAUUGAACGCUGGCGGCAGGCCUAACACAUGCAAGUCGAACGGUAACAGGAAGCAGCUUGCUGCUUUGCUGACGAGUGGCGGACGGGUGAGUAAUGUCUGGGAAACUGCCUGAUGGAGGGGGAUAACUACUGGAAACGGUGGCUAAUACCGCAUAACGUCGCAAGACCAAAGAGGGGGACCUUCGGGCCUCUUGCCAUCAGAUGUGCCCAGAUGGGAUUAGCUUGUUGGUGAGGUAACGGCUCACCAAGGCGACGAUCCCUAGCUGGUCUGAGAGGAUGACCAGCCACACUGGAACUGAGACACGGUCCAGACUCCUACGGGAGGCAGCAGUGGGGAAUAUUGCACAAUGGGCGCAAGCCUGAUGCAGCCAUGCCGCGUGUAUGAAGAAGGCCUUCGGGUUGUAAAGUACUUUCAGCGGGGAGGAAGGUGUUGUGGUUAAUAACCGCAGCAAUUGACGUUACCCGCAGAAGAAGCACCGGCUAACUCCGUGCCAGCAGCCGCGGUAAUACGGAGGGUGCAAGCGUUAAUCGGAAUUACUGGGCGUAAAGCGCACGCAGGCGGUCUGUCAAGUCGGAUGUGAAAUCCCCGGGCUCAACCUGGGAACUGCAUUCGAAACUGGCAGGCUUGAGUCUUGUAGAGGGGGGUAGAAUUCCAGGUGUAGCGGUGAAAUGCGUAGAGAUCUGGAGGAAUACCGGUGGCGAAGGCGGCCCCCUGGACAAAGACUGACGCUCAGGUGCGAAAGCGUGGGGAGCAAACAGGAUUAGAUACCCUGGUAGUCCACGCCGUAAACGAUGUCUACUUGGAGGUUGUGCCCUUGAGGCGUGGCUUCCGGAGCUAACGCGUUAAGUAGACCGCCUGGGGAGUACGGCCGCAAGGUUAAAACUCAAAUGAAUUGACGGGGGCCCGCACAAGCGGUGGAGCAUGUGGUUUAAUUCGAUGCAACGCGAAGAACCUUACCUGGUCUUGACAUCCACAGAACUUUCCAGAGAUGGAUUGGUGCCUUCGGGAACUGUGAGACAGGUGCUGCAUGGCUGUCGUCAGCUCGUGUUGUGAAAUGUUGGGUUAAGUCCCGCAACGAGCGCAACCCUUAUCCUUUGUUGCCAGCGGUCCGGCCGGGAACUCAAAGGAGACUGCCAGUGAUAAACUGGAGGAAGGUGGGGAUGACGUCAAGUCAUCAUGGCCCUUACGACCAGGGCUACACACGUGCUACAAUGGCGCAUACAAAGAGAAGCGACCUCGCGAGAGCAAGCGGACCUCAUAAAGUGCGUCGUAGUCCGGAUUGGAGUCUGCAACUCGACUCCAUGAAGUCGGAAUCGCUAGUAAUCGUGGAUCAGAAUGCCACGGUGAAUACGUUCCCGGGCCUUGUACACACCGCCCGUCACACCAUGGGAGUGGGUUGCAAAAGAAGUAGGUAGCUUAACCUUCGGGAGGGCGCUUACCACUUUGUGAUUCAUGACUGGGGUGAAGUCGUAACAAGGUAACCGUAGGGGAACCUGCGGUUG